rnacentral:RNase_P_RNA from 2 species
GCAGAUGGCUGGAUGGCCGCCGCUACCUCAGGGUAGGGGAGGAAAGUCCGGGCUCCACAGAAACACGGUGCCGGUUAAUGGCCGGCGAGGGCGACCUCAGGGAAAGUGCCACAGAAAGCAAACCGCCUAUGCCCGAAUGGGCAGGUAAGGAUGAAAGGGUGCGGUAAGAGCGCACCGCGGUCCUGGUAACAGGACUGGCAGGGUAAACCCCACCGGGAGCAAGACCAAUAGGGAUGGUUGCCUUAAGUGGCAGGCGGGUUUCUGCGCCACCGUCCGGGUCGGUUGCUUGAGCGGCAUGGCAACAUGUCGCCUAGAGGAAUGGUCAUCACCAGUUUACUGGUACAGAACCCGGCUUACACGCCAUCUGCCACU